GAUGAACGCUGGCGGCAGGCCUAACACAUGCAAGUCGAGCGGAUGACGGGAGCUUGCUCCUUGAUUCAGCGGCGGACGGGUGAGUAAUGCCUAGGAAUCUGCCUGGUAGUGGGGGACAACGUUUCGAAAGGAACGCUAAUACCGCAUACGUCCUACGGGAGAAAGCAGGGGACCUUCGGGCCUUGCGCUAUCAGAUGAGCCUAGGUCGGAUUAGCUAGUUGGUGGGGUAAAGGCCUACCAAGGCGACGAUCCGUAACUGGUCUGAGAGGAUGAUCAGUCACACUGGAACUGGGACACGGUCCAGACUCCUACGGGAGGCAGCAGUGGGGAAUAUUGGACAAUGGGCGAAAGCCUGAUCCAGCCAUGCCGCGUGUGUGAAGAAGGUCUUCGGAUUGUAAAGCACUUUAAGUUGGGAGGAAGGGCAGUAAGUUAAUACCUUGCUGUUUUGACGUUACCAACAGAAUAAGCACCGGCUAACUUCGUGCCAGCCGCCGCGGUAA
rnacentral:rRNA from 1 species